rnacentral:rRNA from 1 species
GAACGCGAAGAACCUUACCAGCCCUUGACAUGUCCAGGACCGGUCGCAGAGACGUGACCUUCUCUUCGGAGCCUGGAACACAGGUGCUGCAUGGCUGUCGUCAGCUCGUGUCGUGAGAUGUUGGGUUAAGUCCCGCAACGAGCGCAACCCCCGUCCUUAGUUGCUACCAUUUAGUUGAGCACUCUAAGGAGACUGCCGGUGAUAAGCCGCGAGGAAGGUGGGGAUGACGUCAAGUCCUCAUGGCCCUUACGGGCUGGGCUACACACGUGCUACAAUGGCGGUGACAAUGGGAUGCGAAGGGGUAACCCCUAGCAAAUCUCAAAAAGCCGUCUCAGUUCGGAUUGGGCUCUGCAACUCGAGCCCAUGAAGUUGGAAUCGCUAGUAAUCGUGGAUCAGCACGCCACGGUGAAUACGUUCCCGGGUCUUGUACACACGCA